CAUCAGUUAAAUUUAUAUGUGCGCUUGUUGAGGAAAACAACUUUCAAAUGCAAGGCAAAAGAAUCACAUUAAAUGAAGGUUCCAAGGUCUCUUAUCAUUCCUAUCAAUAACUUCACGGGAGCGCUGGAGGAUGCCUGCUCUGCUAUGACUGAUAAGAGGGCUUCUCCCCCAGGCACCGCUCCAGCCAGCAGGCCCUUGCACAGGACUGGCCGGCUAACGCUGCUGCCGUCUGCUCUCCAGCCUGACCAGCCAGCCCCAGGACAGGUGCCAAGAAACAGCACCGAGAGCAGGCCCUCCGCAGUGGGAAGCCGAAGUUGAAACGAUAUGACUCGUAGUCCAGCGUCUGUGUGAGCACACCGGUGAGCACAAACUCCGCGUUGUGCACAUCUGCACGGAAUGGAAACAGAACUGGAUAUUAAGAUUAUCUCUGACAAACUCUGAGGAAAAGAAAACGAGUUUAUCAGUGACCGCACACCGAGCCUCACACACAACGAUGGACUCAACAGCCCGCUUGGCCCACCCACCUUAUUCUGCUUGUGUUCCAUGAGCUUCCGGAAAGACGGCUGUUUAGGUAACACUUUUCCUCCCGCACAUUCCACAAUUGCCUUCAUAGUUGAAAGACUUGGGCAGAUUCCAGGUGUGAUGUAAAAAUAUUUUGUCUAAAAAUAAAAUAUAUAUACUGUAUUCCUAAAAUGCUUUGCAUUUUUAGAGUACAUAAUUUUUCAUAGAAUCUGCCAUGAGAUUUAG